AACAACUUCAUUAUCCUACCAAGACUAAAUAUAGUCAUAUACAACUGGACUAGUUGAUGAGAUUCCUCAUCACCACGUCGGCCUGGCGGUGGAAUGGUGGAAUAAUGCGGGGAUAGCCAGAGCGAGUUAGUUUGAUAGGAAAGGCCGGAGGAACAAACUUCUCAUUCCCAUAUGCCAUUUGGAGUGCAACUCUGCACUGUUUCAAAUAAAGUGCAGUAGAAAGGAAACCCAUACGGGAGACCAAUCUUAGAAUCGAUUUAGACACAAGAUAGGCUGUGGUUUCAGUACGUAACUUAGAACAGGUGCUAAGAAGAAUCUUUUGCAAGAGGUUUCUUAACAC
rnacentral:lncRNA from 1 species